CUGAAACUUUAGAUUUCUUAAUUUACACCGUAUUUCUGCACUGCUAAUAUAAUCUCACAUUUUUCACCAUGAAGUGUUUGGAUCUUCUGGACAUGGUUGUCGUUUCUCCUAUCUUAUGCUGAAAACCUGUUUUGUCGGACAUACAUCUAUCAGCAAUUUGGUCAGCCUUCAGCUUCACAUCAAAGAGUUCAAGAGGUUGUUUACGGAAGAUGCUAUGGAUUAUGCUACGUGCACAGCUAAUGUCAAGAGGAAACGACCUACUCCAAGAAGUUUGAGAGGUGGACAAGCUCCAUGGGAUAAAGGUGAAGAUGAUGAGGAUGGAGAAGAUGAUGAUGAUGACUGUAUGGGAGGGCCACGAAGGCUCGACUUUAGAAACCAAAAAGAGCAAUGGCAGCAGGGUUACCAAAAAACAACAAUUGUAAUUAUAACUUGUGCAACAUUACUGUACAUUAUAUGAUUAUAGUGAGAGGGAAGGAUUGGUGUGGGAAUUGUUCAAUAGUAGUGACAAAGUAAUUUGAUUAUAUGACAAUUUAAAUAUUUCGAAUGAUUUGAAUGUU